rnacentral:rRNA from 1 species
UGGCCAAACAUCCUUGUCAAAGCUUGAUCUUGUCAGAUCUCAGAAGCUAAGCAGGGCCGGGCCUUGUUAGUACUUGGAUGGAGGACUGCUGGAUGGGAAUACCAGGUGCCA